CUAGAUUGGAACUGGGGCUAAUACCUCAUAACGCUCCCCCACUGGAAUGUGGGGAGCCGGAAACGCUCCGGCGCCAUAGGAUGCGGCUGCGGUCGAUUAGGUAGACGGUGGGGUAACGGCCCACCGUGCCGAUAAUCGGUACGGGUCGUGAGAGCGAGUGCCCGGAGAUGGAUUCUGAGACAAGAAUCCAGGCCCUACGGGGCGCAGCAGGCGCGAAACCUUUACACUGCACGUAAGUGCGAUAAGGGGACUCCGAGUGUGUGGGCAUAGAGCCCACACUUUUGUGUACCGUAAGGUGGUACACGAAUAAGAGCUGGGCAAGACCGGUGCCAGCCGCCGCGGUAAUACCGGCAGCUCGAGUGAUGGCCGAUCUUAUUGGGCCUAAAGCGUCCGUAGCCGGCCGGGCAAGUCCGUUGGGAAAUCUGUUCGCUUAACGAACAGGCGUCCAGCGGAAACUGCUCGGCUUGGGACCGAAAGACCUGAGGGGUACGUCCGGGGUAGGAGUGAAAUCCUGUAAUCCUGGACGGACCGCCGAUGGCGAAAGCACCUCAGGAGGAUGGAUCCGACGGUGAGGGACGAAAGCUAGGGUCUCGAACCGGAUUAGAUACCCGGGUAGUCCUAGCUGUAAACGAUGCCUGCUAGGUGUGGCACAGGCUACGAGCCUGUGCUGUGCCGUAGGGAAGCCGAGAAGCAGGCCGCCUGGGAAGUACGUCCGCAAGGAUGAAACUUAAAGGAAUUGGCGGGGGAGCACUACAACCGGAGGAGCCUGCGGUUUAAUUGGAGUCAACGCCGGGAAUCGGAUCCCGGGCCCGUCGACUGCAGAGGCCUGCAUGCAAGCUUUCCCUAUAGUGAGUCGUAUUA
rnacentral:rRNA from 1 species